UAUAUUUUCCACAGAAGCCCCUCUGUUCCAGCUCCAGGUGGCCAUAGGAAGAGGGAGCUCAAGGGAGCAAGAAAAGAAGGAGGCGCGAGUGAGGAGAGCCCACCGAAAGGACAGGGAAGCAUGCCUUGGACCACGUGUCGUGGGGAUAUGGUGAAGCGGCGGUACCUGUGGUGGGCUUUGGGAUGGCAGUUUAGGCAACUGCUACCACUGCCCUUCCUGGGCCGAAAAGUGCACUGGCUGGGCCCAAGCGGAGAAUCGGUACUGAAGAUCAGCCAAGCCAGGCCAUGGGGACGCAGGGAGCCCCCACAGGCUCAAUUGUAAGAACAGUCUGACCAUUAAGUUACUGAUGGCACAACGGCAAGGGUCAAAGGAAAUGGAUAUGGUCCUCUGGCACUUUACAGAAGAAGGAAGGGGAGCUGAGUGGAAGUGAUUAGUUUGAGGCUAAAAACAACAUUUAUACUUUCAU